rnacentral:rRNA from 1 species
CAGGCUAACUACGUGCCAGCAGCCGCGGUAAUACGUAGGUGGCAAGCGUUGUCCGGAUUUUAUGGGCGUAAAGCGAGCGCAGGCGGUUUUUUUAGUUGAUGUGAAAGCUUCGGCUUAACCGGAGAAGUGCAUCGGAAACCGGAGACUUGAGUGCAGAAGAGGACAGUGAACUCCAUGGUAGCGGUGAAAUGCGUAGAUAUAUGAAGAACACCAGUGGCGAAGGCGGCUGUCUGGUCUUAACUACGCUGAGGCUCGAAAGCAUGGGUAGCGAACAGAUUAGAUACCCUGUAGUCCAUGCCGUAAACGAUGAGUCUAAGUGUGGAGGGUUUCCGCCCUUCAGUGCUGCAGCUAACGCAUUAAGCACUCCGCCUGGGGAGUACGACCGCAGGUUGAAACUCAAAGGAAUUGACGGGGGCCCGCACAAGCGGUGGAGCAUGUGGUUUAAUUCGAUGCUACGCGAAGAACCUUACCAGGUCUUGACAUCUUCUGCCAACCUAAGAAGAUUAG